rnacentral:rRNA from 2 species
UGGGGAAUAUUGGGCAAUGGGCGCAAGCCUGACCCAGCAACGCCGCGUGAGGGAAGAAGGCCUUCGGGUUGUAAACCUCUGUCCUUGGGGACGAAAAAAAUGACGGUACCCAAGGAGGAAGCUCCGGCUAACUACGUGCCAGCAGCCGCGGUAAUACGUAGGGAGCGAGCGUUGUCCGGAAUUACUGGGCGUAAAGGGUGCGUAGGCGGCUUGGCAAGUCAGAUGUGAAAUCCCCGGGCUUAACUCGGGGGGUGCAUUUGAAACUGCUGAGCUUGAGUGCAGGAGAGGAAAGCGGAAUUCCUAGUGUAGCGGUGAAAUGCGUAGAUAUUAGGAGGAACACCAGUGGCGAAGGCGGGUAACUGGACUGCAACUGACGCUGAGGCGCGAAAGUGUGGGGAGCAAACAGG